UUGUCUCUGAGUCGGCUCGACCCGAUAGUAUCAUGAUACAAUAACUUAGAAGAUAUGACACUGCGCAGGGAUGCCGCCAUUUUGGUUUCGUUGCUGACGUAAUGUGGUUAGUAAACAGCCAGGCCCCUGAAAGUGUAUACAAAUUAUGUGUUCACUGGGAGGGGUGGGGCAAAGGGGGGAAACGGCUAAAAUAGUUCGUGUGCUCCAGCUUAGAGGUCGCGUCAGUUGCAAAGAAAUCUGUAAAUUUAAAGGAAUCUGUCACACAUUUUGCUAAAAGUAAAGAAGGUUCACUUAAAAAUAACCGACGUGCGCACACUUCUCUUUUUAAUUCUUUGAUUUAUCAACAGCCGAUUAUUUUGCUGUCGUUGCGGUGUUUGGCGACAUUUUGUUUUAAUGUGUUUUAAAGACUUCAGAAAACGAUUUAACGUGAUUUUUUGGAUGUUUUUGUGAUCAAACAUCUCUACUUUUAUAUGGAUCUUUUAUUUGAAUCUAGUGUAUAGUGUGAAUGACAGUGUUUUAAUGAAGGAUGAAUCAACUUAAAGCAAAUUAAGAUAUUAAUAUAAUCAUAUUACACCAAGAAGGAUCACACAAACUUCUCUAAUAGGGGAAUUUCUUGAUGUUUAGGAGAUGAAGACCGUCCUUGGAGAUGAUAACGGUUCUUGGGAUGUAAUUGAAAAUCCCAUGAAGACGAGUUAAAUAUAAUGUGCAGUAAUUAAUAGGUAUAUCAUAAUAAUAAAUAAAUUUAUUGUAGUUGCGAA